rnacentral:lncRNA from 1 species
GCAGAUUCCCGCCCCCACCUCUGAGAUUCCCCGUGGUUCUGCCCUAAGUAUUGACGGGUAAGAAGGCAGGCCUUUGGCUUACCACUGUGACUGUCCCAAGGGAUGGCAACUGCAUGGUGACCUCCGGAUCCUCACUAGAGGGAUCCCUGUGACCAUCCUGAGAGAUGACAGUGCAUGGUGUCCCUCUGACAACUCCCACAUCCCUGAGCCUGACACUGUCCUGUGUUGUCACCUAUGCCCAUCCCUGCUGGCCUCCCAUGUGUCUGUCCCACUGGCCUGCUUGUCUCUCAGGACUUUGGCAUCCAUCGGGCCAUGUACCUCUGGAGGACGUGGGACAGCCGGAAUCUAGCAUGCCUAACCCCAUUCUGCAUAUCAGCAGGAUGCAUCCUGUGUGGGUCCAGGGUCUCCCCUGACCACCUUACCUACUCUGUAUCCCUGUAGCUCUGGGUCUGGACUCUCCUGCCAUAAGAGGGUGGGCACACCUGGCAUUCCUAGCUGCUCCCCCUCCCCAUAGGCAGGGUCUCAUGGAACCCACACUGGCUUCCAACUCUAUACGUAGCUGAGGCUUAACCUUGAAUUUUAUUUACCCUCCAUCUCCCAAAUGCUAAAGUUACCAAACUGUACCACCAUACCUAGCAACACCCGCUUCUCAAGGAUGGUAAGCAGCUGUAGGCCGCCAUGUAGGUCCAUGCCCUUUUCUAAGUGCCUGGCAUAGCACAUCUCCCCAUGGCUGUCCAUUAACUCAGCAAUGGCCAAACAUCGGAGAGCACUGACCUAUCUUCCAGUUCAAUAUAACACUCAUUAGCAUUAGUGUGCCCUCUCCCUCCCCACUGCCCACCCCACUCUGAAACAGUGUGUCACUCUGUAUAUACUAGACUGGCCUUGAGCUUGCAACAGCCCCCUGCCUCUGUCUUCCAAGUGCUGGGGUUACAGACCCGAAACUCAUAAUUUGGCUCAAGGCCUUUUAUUCUAAAAAGUAUAUAAGACAUCUCUUUAAAGGAUUUAAUGUUUGGUAUUAAACGAGGUGGUGGAGCAAUAAAAAAAAUGCAAGUA